UCUUAUAAAAUAUGAGACUGGACCAGGUCAAUAUCGAGCGGAAUGUAAAUCACAGGCUUUAUCAAUCCCAAUGACAAGGACUGUGAUUCGGGCGACAAUGUUGCCUUACUCGCUGUCAUUAGUGUAAGGUCUAAGGGGUGAGACACAGCUGUCCUCCCAGUGGCUUUCUAGAAUUUACAGUCUAAUGAAACGAGGUUGACGCCAGUCACUCUUUGCUUUCUGCCCUAAGGAUUAGCUAUCAUUUUGGUACCUAAUCAUAGGGAUCAGUUUGCUCGCCUGGAGUGAUUCGUGUAGAGCGUAAGGCAAUAGGUUGAGAAGGAGAUGAGGUCCUGAAAAGGGCUUCAAGAUUUUCAUGAUGACAGGGUAGCACAAAGGAUCCCAUGAUCUGUGUGCAUUGAUCAGAAAUGAUCACCCUAACUGAUUAAAUCUAAUACCACUAAAAGUGCACCACUUU